rnacentral:rRNA from 1 species
UACGUAGGGGGCAAGCGUUGUCCGGAAUCAUUGGGCGUAAAGAGCGUGUAGGCGGUCCGGUCAGUCGGUUGUGAAAGUCAAGGGCUCAACCCUUGAAUGCCGGCCGAUACUGCCGGGCUAGAGUCCGGAAGAGGUGAGUGGAAUUCCUGGUGUAGCGGUGAAAUGCGCAGAUAUCAGGAGGAACACCGAUGGCGAAGGCAGCUCACUGGGACGGUACUGACGCUGAGACGCGAAAGAGUGGGGAGCAAACAGG